UACGGAGGGUGCGAGCGUUAUCCGGAAUUACUGGGUUUAAAGGGUGCGUAGGCGGCUAUGUAAGUCAGGAGUGAAAGUUUGCGGCUCAACCGUAAAAUUGCUUUUGAUACUGCAUAGCUAGAAUUAGGAUGAGGUCAGCGGAAUGUGGCAUGUAGCGGUGAAAUGCAUAGAUAUGCCAUAGAACACCAAUUGCGAAGGCAGCUGGCUAGACCUGGAUUGACGCUGAGGCACGAAAGCGUGGGGAGCGAACAGG
rnacentral:rRNA from 1 species